rnacentral:rRNA from 1 species
UGGGGAAUCUUGCGCAAUGGGCGAAAGCCUGACGCAGCCAUGCCGCGUGAAUGAUGAAGGUCUUAGGAUUGUAAAAAUUCUUUCACCGGGGACGAUAAUGACGGUACCCGGAGAAGAAGCCCCGGCUAACUUCGUGCCAGCAGCCGCGGUAAUACGAAGGGGGCUAGCGUUGCUCGGAAUUACUGGGCGUAAAGGGAGCGUAGGCGGACUGUUAAGUUAGAGGUGAAAGCCCAGGGCUCAACCUUGGAAUUGCCUUUGAUACUGGCAGUCUUGAGUACGGAAGGAGGUAUGUGGAACUCCGAGUGUAGAGGUGAAAUUCGUAGAUAUUCGGAAGAACACCAGUGGCGAAGGCGACAUACUGGUCCGUUACUGACGCUGAGGCUCGAAAGGCGUGGGGAGCAAACAGGAUUAGAUACCCUGGUAGUCCACGCCGUAAACGAUGAGUGCUAGUUGUCGGCAUGCAUGCAUGUCGGUGACGCAGCUAACGCAUUAAGCACUCCGCCUGGGGCAGUACGGUCGCAAGAUUAAAACUCAAAUGAAUUGACGGGGG